rnacentral:lncRNA from 13 species
AAAUUUGAUUUGAUUUGAUUUGAGGUCUUUACUGUGUUCUACACAGGUACUCAGUCUAACAAUGACAUGUUUUGGGUUAUUUUUUCCAGUCAGGAGCUGCUAGGAUACCCUGACCUCUGGAAUGAGGCUCUCCAAGCAGUUGACCUUCUCCUUCUGACAGACUGGUUCCCACAGGCUGAGAGGCAACUACUGGCCACUGUGCAGGAAGACAGCUUUACAACACUGAGGAGGAUCCUUCAUAAUGAAUAGUCAGUGCAUCAAUUCUGUGCUCCAAAGAGCAAAGAUGAUGAGCCAAACUCUGAUGCUCAUGGCACAUAUAGUCUGUUGGCAAGAGCUACAGGACUUCAUAAAAAGGUAUGUCAAUGUUGAAAAGAAACACCUUCAGAAACAAGCAAGAAUGGGCUUGUCAUGUACAAUGCACUUCUUCAAGACUUUCAACACCUGCAAUGAACUCAAGCAGUAUUUUCCAACGAUUUCCAGAGAUGACACACGUUUUGACUGUGUUUAA